AUUGAACGCUGGCGGCAUGCCUUACACAUGCAAGUCGAACGGCAGCGCGGGGCAACCUGGCGGCGAGUGGCGAACGGGUGAGUAAUAUAUCGGAACAUACCCUAGAGUGGGGGAUAACGUAGCGAAAGUUACGCUAAUACCGCAUACGCACUAAGGUGGAAAGUGGGGGAUCUUCGGACCUCAUGCUCAUGGAGUGGCCGAUAUCUGAUUAGCUAGUUGGUGAGGUAAAGGCUCACCAAGGCUACGAUCAGUAGCUGGUUUGAGAGAACGACCAGCCACACUGGAACUGAGACACGGUCCAGACUCCUACGGGAGGCAGCAGUGGGGAAUUUUGGACAAUGGGGGGCAACCCUGAUCCAGCAAUGCCGCGUGAGUGAAGAAGGCC
rnacentral:rRNA from 1 species